rnacentral:rRNA from 1 species
GCAAGUCGAACGGAAGUCGUCAUAAUGAUUCUGAUAUGGAUAUGAAGAUUAUCAGAUUUGAAAUUGAAGUUGAUUAUGACAAUGGCUUUAGUGGCGGACUGGUGAGUAACGCGUAAGCAAUCUGCCUAUUAGAGGGGAAUAACAGUGAGAAAUCAUUGCUAAUACCGCAUAUGCCAUAGUUAUCACAUGAUAGUAGUGGGAAAGGAGUAAUCCGCUAAUAGAUGAGCUUGCGUCUGAUUAGCUAGUUGGUGGGGUAACGGCCUACCAAGGCGACGAUCAGUAGCCGGACUGAGAGGUUGAACGGCCACAUUGGGACUGAGAUACGGCCCAGACUCCUACGGGAGGCAGCAGUCGGGAAUAUUGCGCAAUGGAGGAAACUCCUGACGCAGUGACGCCGCGUAUAGGAUGAAGGUUUUCGGAUUGUAAACUAUUGUCGUUAGGGAAGAUAAAAGACAGUACCUAAGGAGGAAGCUCCGGCUAACUACGUGCCAGCAGCCGC